UACGGGGGGGGCAAGCGUUGUUCGGAAUUACUGGGCGUAAAGGGCGCGUAGGCGGUCAGAUAAGUCAGCUGUGAAAACCUCGGGCUUAACCCGAGGCCUGCAGUUGAAACUGUUUGGCUGGAGUGUGGGAGAGGAGAGUGGAAUUCCCGGUGUAGCGGUGAAAUGCGCAGAUAUCGGGAGGAACACCAAUGGCGAAGGCAGCUCGCUGGGACGUGACUGACGCUGAGACGCGAAAGCGUGGGGAGCAAACAGG
rnacentral:rRNA from 1 species